rnacentral:rRNA from 1 species
UACAGAGGCCUCAAGUGUUGUUCGGAAUUACUGGGCGUAAAGGGCGCGCAGGCGGCCAUUCAAGUCAGGCGUGAAAGCCCCGGGCUUAACCUGGGAGGUGCGCUUGGGACUGGAUGGCUAGAGAUCGGGAGAGGAGAGUGGAAUUCCCAGUGUAGAGGUGAAAUUCGUAGAUAUUGGGAAGAACACCGGUGGCGAAGGCGGCUCUCUGGACCG